CGUCAAAUCAUCAUGCCCUUUAUGUCCUGGGCUACACACGUACUACAAUGGAUGUAACAAAAAGAAGCGAAACAGUGAUGUGGAGCAAAACUUAUAAAAGCAUCCUCAGUUCGGAUUGAAGGCUGAAAUUCGCCUUCAUGAAGUUGGAAUUGCUAGUAAUGGCAGGUCAGCAUACUGCCGUGAAUACGUUCCCGGGCCUU
rnacentral:rRNA from 1 species